GUCGCGCACAGCGCCCCGAGCCCAGGCGCCUCCCCGCCCCCCUCCCCGCGCUCCGCGGCGGCGGCGGCGGCAGUAGCAGCAAUAUGGCUGUUGAUGGGUGUUCGGGGUGGCGCUGGCGGCGGGAGGAGCUCCCCCGAGCCCCUGCGCCGGCCGCCCGUUGCUAGCUAUGGCAAAUGGUGGCGGCGGCGGCGGCGGCAGCAGCGGCGGCGGCGACGGCGGCGGAGGCAGCAGUCUUAGAAUGAGUAGCAAUAUCCACGCGAACCAUCUCAGCCUAGACGCGUCCUCCUCCUCCUCUUCCUCUUCUUCUUCUUCCUCCUCCUCCUCUUCCUCCUCGUCCUCGGUCCACGAGCCCAAGAUGGAUGCGCUCAUCAUCCCGGUGACCAUGGAGGUGCCGUGCGACAGCCGGGGCCAACGCAUGUGGUGGGCUUUCCUGGCCUCCUCCAUGGUGACUUUCUUUGGGGGCCUCUUCAUCAUCUUGCUGUGGCGGACGCUCAAGUACCUGUGGACCGUUUGCUGCCACUGCGGGGGCAAGACGAAGGAGGCCCAGAAGAUAAACAAUGGCGCGAGCCAGGCAGACGGCACUCUCAAACCAGUGGAUGAAAAAGAGGAGACGGUGGCCGCCGAGGUCGGCUGGAUGACCUCGGUGAAGGACUGGGCCGGGGUGAUGAUAUCCGCCCAGACGCUGACUGGCAGAGUCCUGGUUGUCUUGGUCUUUGCUCUCAGCAUCGGUGCACUUGUAAUAUACUUCAUAGAUUCGUCAAAGUGAGUAUUCAAUGCAUUGCCUUGCCUUUUCCCCAAAACAAUUGUUAGCCUUUACAUUGAUCAAUUUGUUUAUCUUAACACCAACCCUUACAAGAGCCUCCUGAGUGUUGAAGAUUUUUGGAGGAAGGCAGGGCUGUUCUGUGCUGACUUUCUGAAUGAGAAAGAAAGCUCUUGGAAGGAAGGCUGCUUCCUUUCUGCUGGCCUGGAAGGAAAAGAUGCCUGGGGUCAAACCUCCUCGCUGGGCAUUAUUUAUUUUUUAAUAACUAUUUCCUGAUGAAAUACUUGCACCGAAGAUGUCAAGAACUUAAGAGAGCUUGAUGGGAAUUUGUGAGCUCUGGGAGGGUUGACAGUGUCCAGCAGAUGGUAGUCCAAGCCAUUCGUUCUUGCCAUGGUUGUAGGAUCCUUUUCUCAUUUGCAUUUCCAAUGCUUUGAUCUCGUUGGAGGUCACAUUAAAACGCAUGGUGUUAUCCUUUUACCUGCCAGCCAAAUAUUCAGCUGAAGCAUCACUCGCUGGUGCUUCUUGACUUGUGAAGGUAAGGAAAUGGGAUGGAGGAGUUCAUGGUGACUCCCAGUGGUGAAGGCCCAUGGCCAUCUGAGAAUUCCUAGAGGAGACACUUGUGCAGACCCCUUGGGUGCCAGCUGAGUGGACUGGUGCUCUAGGGUGAGCCUGGAUGACAGAUGGUAAAGAUCUUGCAGGAGGAAGAGGCCACUGACCAGGCUGCUAAAUGGCAGCCAGACGUGCCCUGUUUCCUGCAGGUGCCACCCCUGGGACCUUCAUUGUUUCAACUAUCCUAUUGCAAUCUUGAAGUUGACGGCUUCCGGGAGAUGAGGGGAGCUGGAGUCUAACUCCAUUUCUGUUGAGACACCAGCUUGGCAACUCUGGCAACAGUGGCCUUGAGCUCGUUCCCUCAUUGUCCACUGUGAGAGUGAUUUUAACUUCUUUAACUCUAUCCUGGAUACUAGACUUCGAUCCUAGGAAAUCUGCGUGGUGUUCCUGUUGGCUCAGACCGCAGCUUGCCUGAAUUCUGAGCUUAGUUUUCUGGGGCUCAGAAUGGUAGUAAUUUCAUGCACACCUAAACUCUGAAUUUCUCAGAGCCAUCUGGUCACCAGCCAAAGGAUUUUGUGCAUUUGGGUGCAGAGGCCAAAAUGGCAUGUCAGAGAAAAUAAAGAAAAUAUCUCCUCUAAUAACCUGUCUCUGGGAAUCAGCCAAGUCUGAGAAUAUCUGAGGUCCUUCACCCUGUCCCCACACAAGCCUGGGCUCCUCAGGAAACAGAGCUGCACAUGCUUCCUCCAUCAGCUCUCCCUAGCCAAGAAAGAGAAGAGCUUUUUUAAGUGUGGAAGACUCCAAUUGCCAUGUCAUUGAAGGAGUGUUCUCGCAUGUCGUGGGGUGCAGACCCUGCCAACUUCUAUGCUGGGGCUCAGGAAAAAGGUUCAGGCAUGUAGCCUGUGCCCCAGCAAGAGCAAAUCCUUAUGUGGAGGUGAGUGUGCUGAUGUGUUAGGAGGACAGAUGCCCUGGUCAGCGCCUUCCUGCCCUUUGCCUACCUUUUGCCUCCUCUGUAUUUCUCAGAAAUAAAAUGCUUUUUAGAUGGAUUUGGAUGAUGUCCUUUUUUAUAGUGUCUACUGUGAGGCAGCCUUUUGCUUUUUAGAUCCUGGUGUUGUCUGCCUCCAUGUGAAGUCAUGAGAGUGAUGCAAUUCUCCAACACAACAAGCCCUCUUCCCCGAAUACUCUGUACAUGUCCUUGGCUUUAAUUUUGAUCCUGCUAAACCUCAGGGAAGCUGACGCCGGGAGUCCUCUCUGAUUCUGGUUUCUUUUAUGGGCUUGCAAAGAAUCUAUUCCAAGGAUGGACCUGCAGUCCUAUCCUCAGCUUUUCCUAGCAAAAAUACCAGUAAGCUUAGGAGCAAAAUUGUCCCCACUCUUCCUGAGGACUGUCCUAGCCUCAUCCUGGCUUCAGCCUUGCUCUCUUUUUUGUCUCUGAACUGUGUGGUUUGGUACAAAGCUUUGAGUGUAAGGAGACCUCAUGGUCAUUUGCCUAGCCCUUUCCAUUCUUCAUUUGCAUCGUUUCAUUAGGUCCCGAGACCACAGCCCAGGAUUCUGUUCUGGGGCGGGUGGUGGUGAUCAAUGGAGUCAGCACAAGGAGUCUUGCAUCUUCUGGAGAGAGUCAGCAGGCAUGCUCCAGUUAAGUAUAGGGUAGAAUUAAGGAUUCUAUAAUCUAUAAGGUCACCCGUAUAGUCAAUCCACAGUUUCCCAGGAAUAAAACAAAAGGAAAGCUACUAAGCAAAUUAUAAUCGAGAUUAGUGAACAAAAUGAGAUGAAGUUUUAGCCACACAUAAGAUGCAAACAGAAAGAGUAGACUGUAAAACAGAAAAAGUAGAAUGUAAAAAUUUUAAAUUUCCUUUUUUUUUUUUUUUUUUUGUUUUUUACCAUUUAAAAUUGUCACUGGUUUUACACAGUCAAGGUUUGGCUGGCCAUCUGGGCAUCUUGGAAAAAUAGCUUUAAACUUCUCUCUUGGAAGCUAUACUGAAUCAGCACCCUGGAAAAAAGCAGCCAGUAUUCUCCGGAUGAAAUUUAGUUAGUAUUUAAGCCCUUCAAAUAAACGAAUCAGGGGACAACCUAGAGGUUGAGUCAACCCGUGAGUGACCCUAAUUGGGCAGACACUGCCCAUGAAAUGGCUGUCCUGGUGAAUCUGAACCAGAGCUGGCCUCCCAGAGAUGAAGCAGGGAAUAUCCCAGCAGCACAGGUUCAAGAUUCAAGGCUGCCUGCACCGUUUGGAAAGUGCGAGGCGUGCGGAUGAACACCUGCGGCAGGCUCUGCGGCCUGCUCGGCUCGGCCAGCCCCGUCUCGAGGCAGCCAGCCCAGGUCGCGCAAGCGCACAAGCAGGUCAGGUGCUGACUCCACCUCUGUGCAUCAGCGGAGGCUUAGGCGGUCCAGGUAAAUGUCGUAAUUGGUGACUUUGGGAUCUUUUUAACCUUUCGAAGCUCAUUUUACUAUCAGGAGGCGCCGGUUAAAUCACUUCCAAGGUCAUCUUCUCCUGCGCAUCUCUUGUUUUCGGCUGUUAGCCCAAGAUAGAUCCCUGCGUGGGUCUUUUUCAUUCACGGGUUUGAGAUGCCCUUCUUGGGGCCUGGUCUUCAUUUUCCUAGAGCGAUUGCGAGGGAAAAAUCAUCUGUGUAGCCUCAAGUGGUUCCUAUCUGGCUACGACAGAUUGUCCUCGGCACUCCAGGAGCUGAAAGCCAAAGAGAAUUACAUUAAACCGCAUUAAAAUUAUGUUUCAUCAUCCCAGCAGUAGACUCUCUAGAAACACCCAAGCAGAAGGAGCUGUCUCUCUCUGGACCUAGUCUUUGGUUAGAUGUAAUGCCAGUGACUUAGCAAACAUGAGAGGCACUGAGCCCCAACAUGCCACCCCACAAUCCCUCCCCCAAAAGAUAUCCUCCGAUUAGCCACACACAAGACUCAUACUGUCCAAAAAGCUCCCUUUCCUUUUCAUUCAUUUUAAAAGGCCUCCUGCCCAAUUUAUGACACACGUCACUCUAGCUCCCAAUUCUGAAGUCCCCCAGUGCCUAUGCCACCCCUUUCCUCCCACACACCCUGAUCCCUGGGAAGCAAAGAUUUUUAAAAUAUUGUACAACCAAGUAGAAAGUGCCUAGAGCUGCCCUGUGGGUGCUAAUGUCACCUUAGCUGCUUCCAUUCUUGUCUAUUUCCUCCCUCCUACACAAGAACAGUAAUUCUUAUCUAAUAGAUAAGAAAAAGAAAAUGAAAACACAGACCCAAGGUGUCAGCGAGAGGGCAAGAUUCGUGCAUUGCAUAAUGCAACCCUCCCUGUUGCAUCCAGAAUUUCAAGAGAAAGUUGGAAGAGAUGCAGGCUCGGAGCUCCAGGUCUGCAUUUUUUUCCAGGGGCACCCUGGGAAAGGAUGACUCACGCGCAUGGAGAUACAUAUUCCUUUGAUUCAUGUUUAAACGCUGCUACUUCUUAGGCUGCGGUUACGUGCAUUAUGAAUAUUUAAUGCUGCGUAUACUGAAAAUGAAGGUCAAGUCCUGCUCGCUGGUGACUUCAAGGCAGGCUCCUGUCUCUCAAGGGGAAGCUACCUGCUGUUAGCAGAGUAGAGCUGAAAGGUUAUACAUUGUUAAAUUUUUCCUUAAUGACUUUAUCUGCUCCAAAAUGGCUGGCGUGCAGUGGGGGGCGCCUGCUGCUUGUUCCACUCUCUGCUCUCGACUUCCGGUAUCUGCAAGGCUGUUUGGGGUCUGUGGACAUUAUGAAGGAGGAGGGGGAAGCAGCUCAAGUUUUGUAGAGCACCUAACCCAAGGGCCUGAUUGCCAGGGCAUCAAAGGGGUAAUGUUUGGGAAAUGGCCUCUCCCCAGUCUUCUUAAAAUUUUAACUUUUGUAUUUAUUCAUUCAUUCUGUAUUCAUGCAUUCACUUGAAACAUCUUCAAAUGUGUUAAUGCUGACUGUUUCCUGGGUGGCAAAAUUGCUUAUGGUUAGGUAUGGUUGAGGAAAACUAUCUUUAAGGUUGCGAUAGGAACUGACCAGAUUGUUUUCACAGUCUCCGAAAUAAAGCUGGCCCCGUUGAUGUAACACGGAUACCUCGAGCUUUAGCAGAGCCGGGGUGAGUUGCCCAACAAUUUCACUCACCCCAGCCUUUGCACAGCCUGGCUUCUCAUCCCUCAGCCUAGAAAUGCUCUUUCAAAAAGGAAGAGGUGGCAGGCGGUUAGAAGGAACUAAUAAUAUUUGCUGAUUACGUGCUGUCUGUGAGCUAUAGUGCCAGGCGUGCGAUGUCACUGAAUUCCCCUAACGACUUCUUCGGGGAGGCAUCACCAUUCCCACUCUGCAGACGGGGAGGCGAAGCUGCAGCCUUAGCCCGAGCCACGUAGCUGGUAAGCGGUGGAGCCAGGAUUUGAUUCCAGCCUGGCUCCUUCUAAAGCCAUCGCUCUCCCCGGUGUCAAGAAGUGAAAUUCCAGAUUGUGGAAGUAACUGAUGGGGUUUAGUGAGAUGUUGCAAGAAUGAGAGGUCACAGGGCCUCAUCUCCCCCAAUCCAUCAGUCUUGUUUCCUCUUCUGUCCUCCCUCUCCCCUUUUCUCACGCUGGGAGCCAAGUCUGUAGUUGGAGGUACCCAGGAGGCUCCCACCAUGGGCUUUCCCCCUAAGACACUGCCCUGGGUCAUGUGCCGGUUGCUGUCUGCUUGGGCCUUGAUGCAUUCCUUCCCAAUAAUGGCUUAGUAAAACCCACUUCUCUUCUAUGUCAGUGGAGUGGCAGCAUUUUGUGAUAGGUACGGUCAAGUGUAUAAAGAACAAGGAUGGUUGAUUGUUCCUCACAGGCUUCUCCCACCUGGGAGAUUCUGUCCAAGUAGACGGACCCUUUGGUCUUCCCAUCCUUACCUACUUCCCAGCACCUGUCAUUUGGCACACUGAAGUAGAUAAUGACAAGUGCCCAUUUCCCAAGGAGAUAAAUUCUUUGAUCUCUUUCGAGAGUUAUAGAAUUAGUUCGUUGUUGUUUUGCAUUAUGUUGCAGAAUAUUUAUGUGCCUAGAAAGUCAGUAUUAUCAAACUAAUAGAUUUUAGGCAAAUUGGGCCCCCAAAAAGAUUCUAUGGACAUCUUAAGAAAUGACAUAAGAUACCUUGCUUCCUUCUCCAGCCUUGUUCUGACUGUGCACAGGUGACAACUCGGUGCCUCUCAUGUGUCCAGCCUCACAGCAGGCACCUGGCAGAGCUCUGAGGACAGCAUAGAUCCCAUGAGUGACAGUGCAUUGCAAACUGUAAAGUGCUGUGCACACUAGCUUUCGCUGUCACCAUUAGUACUCCACACCUCACAGCAGGGCCAGCUGGGCAGCCCGUGGCGUAGAGAGAGAAGCUCACCAGCUUGCUCCGUGCCCAGUUCCUUUACGGAACACAGCCUUUCUAGGUAGUGCUCUGGAAAAUUAGCCCCAGCUCUCCGCCUUGGUGCCCUUUUCCAGAAGUCACGGCAUGCAUUUAACCUUUGUGGAAGAAGUCAACACAAAUCACUGUGUGUGCAAAGCAUCUCCCUAUUCCCCCCCCCUUUUUUUUUCUUUUUAAAUACUCCCCCCAAUUUUCUCCACCCCUCAGUGACAUUUUUAUUGCCAGGCUUUGAUUUGGAAAAUUAUGGGUAGGGAAAGUUCAAGGGCAGGAUGUUCGGAACAGCACUGCACAUCUGUGAAGGGAACACGACAGGAGAGCCAGCAGCUGUUGGAAGCCCCGAAUGUCAGAUGGCAGAGGGGCCCACUGAAGGAUGGGGAGAGGAGACGCCCUCAGGGCAAAGAGCCUAUAAAUAACUCCCAGUGGGAAGUCCUUGUGCCCUUUUAGGAUUUACCCUUUAAUGGCAGCACUCCGUUCCCUGGCAUGGGAGUGACCUUAACUCAUCCCUUCUACCUCGUCUCGUUUUCUCGCUGCCAUUCCUUCAUUAACUGAGUGCAUACCCGGUAGAGAAGACAGUGGAGAGAACACCAAGGAAUAGAGUCAACUUCUAUGCAUGUCCUUGUCUCUGUGUGGGCAGAGUUUGGAGAACAAGGUAUGUUCUUUGGUUCCCAAACAGAUUGGCUUCAUUUACCUCAAAGUUCAGAGCCUGAGUGGCGCCCUUCCUCUUUCUCCCCUCCACACUGGCGGGGGGUCUGGGCUUCCUUGCUUCUUUCUCACUGCUCGAGCGGUACCUCAGUGUGACAGCACCUGGCCGCAUCAGGGGACUGCUUAUCUUGGGCACUUCACUGGCAAAAAAAUCAAGGACCAUGCUAGGAGUGGAAGAGCACAGAGCUGGACCUGCCAGGUUCGCUACCAAAGG